GGAGGGUGCGAGCGUUAAUCGGAAUUACUGGGCGUAAAGCGCGCGCAGGCGGCUGGGUCAGUCGGAUGUGAAAGCCCCGGGCUUAACCUGGGAAUUGCAUUCGAUACUGCCCGGCUAGAGUAUGGGAGAGGGAAGUGGGAUUUCCGGUGUAGCGGUGAAAUGCGUAGAUAUCGGAAGGAACACCAGUGGCGAAGGCGGCUUCCUGGCCCAAUACUGACGCUCAGGUGCGAAAGCGUGGGGAGCGAACAGGGAUUAGAUACCCUGGUAGUCCACGCUGUAAACGAUGAGAACUAGAUGUUGGGAGGGUUAGCCUCUCAGUGUCGCAGCUAACGCGUUAAGUUCUCCGCCUGGGAGUACGACCGCAAGGUUG
rnacentral:rRNA from 1 species